rnacentral:rRNA from 1 species
AACGAUGAGUACUAGUUGUUGUGGGUAUUGACCCCUACAGUGACGCAGCUAACGCAUUAAGUACUCCGCCUGGGAAUUACGGUCGCAAGAUUAAAACUCAAAGGAAUUGACGGGGGCCCGCACAAGCGGUGGAGCAUGUGGUUUAAUUCGAUGCAACGCGAAGAACCUUACCUGGACUUAACAUCCCCGGACCGCCCUAGAGAUAGGGCUUUGUCUUCGGACACUGGGUGAUAGGUGCUGCAUGGCUGUCGUCAGCUCGUAUCGUGAGAUGUCGGGUUAAGUCCCUUAACGAGCGCAACCCUUAUCCUUAAUUGCCAUCAUUUAGUUGGGCACUCUAUGGAGACUGCCUGUGUUAAGCAGGAGGAAGGUGGGGAUGACGUCAAGUCCUCAUGGCCCUUAUGUCCAGGGCUACACACGUGCUACAGUGGCCGGUACAGAGGGAAGCCAACCAGCGAUGGGGAGCUAAUCUCACAAAACCGGUCUCAGUUCGGAUUGAAGUCUGCAACUCGACUUCAUGAAGCUGGAAUCGCUAGUAAUCGCUAAUCAGCAGGUAGCGGUGAAUACGUUCCCGGGCCUUGUACACACCGCCCGUCACACCACGAAAGUUUAUUUCACCAGAAGUCCCGGUACCAACCUUCGGGAGGGAAGGGCCCAAGGUGAGAUAGAUGAUUGGGGUGAAGUCGUAACAAGGUAACCGUA